CAGAAAAGGGUGUUAAUACUGCAUGGGUUAGUAUGCCAAAGGAGACGAUCCACAAUGGACCGAUUUUAUUGCUCUGUUUUGGGGCUUUUAAUGUCGCUGCCUUGUUUCUGUUCAGGCACCUUAAUAUCGCAGUGGCCCAGUACCUUAGCCAUCAGGAAAGGGGAACCAGUAAAGCUAACCUGUUACCAGAACAAUUCCAAUCUUAACAACAUGUGGUGGUACAUCCAAGACCGAAGUGGUGCUGGUGGGCUAAAACUGAUAGCUGUUGUCUAUACUCAGAUGGAUGCUAAUUAUGAGAAAGAUAUCGAGAAAGAUCGAUUUGAGAUUACUAGACCUGAUGAUAAAAUCAGUUAUCUGAUGAUGAAGACAACCAAAAUUAAAGCUGCAGCUUUCUAUGUCUGUGCUGCUGGAAAUCACAGUGAUGAAGAACAGUGUCGAGAUAAAGCAAACACCACACUGCAGUUGUAACCGCCUUGUUAUUCUAACAACUUCCCAAGUUUAUAAGAACAAUAUUUAAAAUCCGUCCCUGAUUUUUGACAUAGAUUCCCUUCUCCUUAUGUGUGCGCGUACGCACGCGCGUCCUUGUCAUUUGUCCUUACAAUGUCUGUAAUUAGGGAUAGGCAUAGCUCUCAACCUCCCAUUCCAUGUGUAACACCACCUCUCAUA